AUAUCAUCAGCAUGCCUGCCUCCAGUGAUCCUGUGUGUCCUUUGGAAUCCGAGGCACUCUGUGAACCUUGAUGCAUGAAUGUAGUGAUAGUAACUACUGGUUCAGAGUCUUUUCAUCCUGAUUGCUGGGCUCUUACCAGGUUUCACACGUCUGGGGGCUCCCCGCUGGUUAGCAAGGCAGCCACUAAGAACUCUCUGAAUAGUCAUUUUCCUUUCGGAAACUGCUUAAAGAUGACUCGGGAGGACUUUUAAAUGGAGAAAUGUUCGUAUGCUGAGAUCCUGGCUGGUGACAGAAGGAUGGAAGAAGUGAUGCCUGAAGGUAUAUUCUAAAUGGUUGUUGUGUCCCUGUAGUCAAAAGGUGUGUGGGCAUGGUUUCUUAUUUUAAACAGUUUUCUUAAAUCAAUAAACAUUGGGUUAUGAAUCUCAGAUAUAGGAUCUUUUUCAACUUUUAAUCUGGACGACUUUGAAUUAAAGAAAAAAAAGAACAACUGUUCCAUUAUAAUUCAUGUAAAAUCAAGUCCAGGGCCAUGAGGGGCCGAGAUAAAGGGAACAACUAGAAGUAAGUGGAGGAUAUAAUUUCUCAGAAAAUUCUUAUAUUUUCUGUGCCUGGAAAUGGUUUCAAUACACAUCAUAAAAAUGAUAUAAAACUCAAUCAACAGAAGAACUUUUUGUUUCUUUAUUUUCAAUAUUUGUCUUAUUAAUAUUUUUCUUAUUUUAUAAUGCAAUUACAACAAUUUAGGAGACAAAACAAUAUAAACAAAAGAAUGUUAAAUAGUUUUUUUUAAAAAAUAGCUUGUUGCUUGCAAGAAAGUCCAUAUAAUCUUAUUCCCCCCCAAAUAUAAUUUUAUACUUUGCACUAAACCAAAAUAGCUUAUGGAAAAUUAGUAUUAAAUAGCUAAACACAGAAAACCUACAGCUAUAAAUAACAUAAAAUACAGUUUAACUUUAAUGUGAUGCUUAAACAAAGCAAACUAUGAUGCAAUAUGAAUCAACUUCAUUAAUUGGACAAGUCCAGUGAGGCACAAAUUAGAUAAGCACUAAACCCUCCAUGAUGUGCAAGUGAAACCUCCAACCCCAGCAAGGUUCUUUCUGUUCUUGGGCUAUGUCCAAUUCCAUUCCAGAAAAGCCACAGUUUUUACAUGUUCUUGACUUUUUUACUGUAAAAUGAAAAAGAAGAAAAGUGUAAGUAAUGACAAGGUGACUGCAUGGUGGGAAUGACUUUGGUACCUAAAGGUUGCUUCACCUGCCCUUAAUCUCAACUCAGUAUGUCAAGCAGCUCAGAGUUCAGAUGAGGAAAUUGAGGUUUAGAGAGGAUGGCCCUUGCCCAACCUAACUCAGCUCAUUAAUGACAGAAACAGGCUAUGGACACUUAUCUUGUGUCUCCAAGUUCAGUAUCUAUGGCAUGCUGGUGUUAGGUGCCUUCUGUCCAUUGAUAAAGUGUUACUGUCUAUUAUUGUCAACGUAAAUCAGAACCAUUGAUCUCUGUUUAACUAAUGUUCAUUUUUCAGUUUUUAACAAACAACCAAAUGCCAGAUUGCCUUUAAAUUAUAUAAAUAGUAGGCAUCUUUGCAACAAGAAUCAGGCAGCUAGUAACUAUCAAAUGCAUAGAGAAAUCUAAUACAUCAUGUAAGAAAUCACUAAAUUAAAAUAAUAAUAACGAUGAUGAUCUGUAAGUGGAAAAAUGCAUUCUUUGUUUUUGUGGUCCAACUCAAAUUUUCCCUUUAAAAAUUCCACAAUAGUUAAACUAAAGAAUCCCAGAAAACCUACGGCCCACCCCUUUGCACACUCCUCUUUCCUCAAACAUUUGCAAAGGCUAAAUGUCAGUGUAACAUACCUGAGGAGACGCACAAUAUAUUUCACCCAAGUCUGUUUUGGAUUUGCGCACACAGACAACUUUUUCUUUGUGUGAAAGCUGAAAAAUCAGAAAAUUUGAUUUGUGUUUAAUGAGCUUUUCAAUGGGUUUUUCAUAGAACAUACAAUGGAAAUUUUAUAUUCCAGUUGAUUACACACUAAACAUUUCAGUUGAUGAGGUAAAAUAAAAUGCACAAAAAAUGCUUCUGAUGAAGAUUAAUGCAAAAUCAAAGUGAUUCUCUCUUUCUCUGCAAUGUAACAAAUAAUAGUACAAUGGCAGGAAGAUAAAGUCCCAGAAUUGUCAUAUAAUUUUGCUAUUGGUGGUUACAUAGAAUAUGUAUGUAUCUGAUCAAUAACUUGUAUAAUUCCAAAAUAUAAUAUCCUAUAUAAAUCAAGAAAAUUAUAUGUGAUAGUAUAAUUAGUCUGAGAUUUUACUUUUGGUCUCAAACACUUUCUGGUAGAAGAUGCUCAUUUCGAAAUGUGUAUCUUCCCUAUUUUCCUAAUAUAUCACUUUAAUAGCCUUAGAAAGUGAUUUUUGCCCUAUACUAGUUCCGUUUGACCAAAAAAAAUUUUUAAAAAAGGUUUUGCCUUAUUCCAGUCCUGUUUAAAGUGAACUUUAAAGUAGAUAUGUACUAAGACAAAGCUAUCUUUGCCACAUCAUUUCUUUCUCUUUAAAAUAAGAUCUUAUGUUCAAAACAUCAGUAAUUUCUGAAUGAAACUCUAAAAAGGCAAACAUUUUUAAAACUGAAGUUUCUAGGUAUUCCUGAUACAACUGAAUUAAAAUCAAUUAAUAACUUACAUGAUAGCAUUGAUGUCACAGCCUUCAUUGGCCAGCUGCCGUGUGAAGCCCACAAUAAAUUUAGGAUGAAGAAUACGGUCUGUGUAUCCAAGACAGCAGUCAAAGUUGCUUGCUGCUAAAAAAAAAAAAAAGUGAAAGGUAUUGGAUCCACAUGAAUAAACUUAUCCUGUGAUUGGUAUUAUAAAACUACCUUAAGUUGUGAAAAAUCUAGUGAAUCUCAUGUAUAUGACGAAUAAACCACUUAGAGGAGGAGUUUCAAUGUCUUGGAAACCUUUGUAAGGUCGUUGAGAACCAAUCUAACAUAGUUUACAGUUCUUUGAAAAAACAGUUUGUGUGCCGAGAAGUUUUGGUUCAAUAAUAGAAUUGAGAAACACAGGACUUCUCAUAAGUGGGAUAUCUUCAGUAAGAAAUACAAAUUGACAAUAUUUCAUUUCAGUUCACUAUAAUCAUUCAAGAAUAUGAGCAGCCCCUUCCCUACUGCUUGAAGGAACCCUUAUGUAGAUAAACUUCCAAAAGCAGAAAAUGAAUAAAUUGGCAGAUUUUAAUCUAUUAUCUGGCUACUAAGUAUUGAGAAAUAGAGCUACAAAGGGAAAUAUGAUUUAUAGGAGUGAAAACACUUUGAAAUUGUCCUAUUAAUUAAUAGGAAUGUUUAAUUUUGUUCAUAAAAGUUCAACAUGUGGUUGGGCAUGGUGGCUCAUGCCUGUAAUCCCAGCACUUUGGGAGGCCAAGGAGGAAGGAUUGCUUGCCUCCAGGAGUUCGAGACCAGCCUGGGCAACACAGUGAAACCCUGUCUCUACAAAAAAAAAAAAAAUGUAAAAAAAUUAGCCAGGUGAGUGGCACACGGCCGUGGUCCCUGUUAUUCAAGAGGCUGAGACUGGAGGUUCACUUGACUCCAGGAGGUUGAGGCUGUAGUGAGCUGUAAUCAUGCCACUGCACUCUGGCCUGGGUGAUGAAGUUAGACCCUGCCUCAGAAAAAAAAAAAAAUUCAAUGUGCAUUUUUAGGAAUGCACCUGUUGCUAAAAGUGUUGUGUGACUAUUGAGCAAUAAAGCAAUACUUGGACAUUCCCGAGUCAGAUUACAACAUGCUGUAAGGUAAGGGAUUAAUGUUAUUUUAAAGUUGGCAAGCAAUGUCCCCCAUGCCUUGUGGGGAUGUUGAUGUCAGGUAUUAUAAUCUACUUCUAAAGGAUGAGUUUUGAACUUUACCAAAACUAUUAAGUUGGGAGGUACGAAAGUUGGGGACACAGGAGGAUUCUCUACAUUUCAAAAUGGCCCCAUCUACUGGUAACAUUACACACUUUAUAUCACUCCCAGAAACAUCACUUUGGCUUUAUCCUGAAGUUUAGGGAUCUCUAAGAGCCCACCACUCCCCAAAUCUGCUGAGAUUGACAGCAGAGAGGAAAGCCUGAUCCGCAGCAGUAACUCUUCUCUCCUCCACUCCACCAUGGGCAGACAACUUCCAUCACUACCUCUUGUAUACUUCCUAACAGUUUUCCAUCCCUUAGGGACCCCCAGUUGAGCUCAAGGCUAAAAGGAAAAUGAAAAUAGUCUUUCUUCUGUGCUAGCGGAAAGAGCGACACUUACCUUCUGAUUCGCCGCAGAGGUGGAGUAGCAGCACUGACAUCAAAGCAGCCAGGAGCAAACUCUUGGUACAGCACAUGGUUUUUAGCUCAAAGAACAGAUCUGCUCAGUGUUGAGUACCCAGUUCUUUGGGAGUGCUGUUAUAUUCUGACAGCAGCCUGGGAUGGCCCUAUUUAUAGCAAAUAUUGGGAAUGUACACAGAAGGCGUGUUGCCACAUGGGGUUUUCCCCAUUGAUCAACUGGCCCCAUCAUGUCAUCAUAAAAAAAACCCGCAAGGAAAACUUCCUGCUUUUUCCUCAUAUUGGGAAGGUGCGAAGGUCAGGGUGGGGGACAGGAAGUUGAGAAGGGGAGAAUCCUGUUAAAUUCUUUGUAUUUGCAAAGAGCAAAAGCAGCUCAGCCCUGUGACCCAGAAAAGACUUUCAUCCAGUUUUAACUUAAUCAUUUUUGUGUCUGAAAAUAGAGGAUUAACAGCGAUACAAAGGUCAGCCCCACACAGGAACAUUCCAGAACUCCUAUUGUUACACCCUAUUUGCUUUCCAGAACCAGUCAAGGAGGAGGGGGAGGAGGAGCAGGUGGGAUGCCAGGCAUACUCUGCUACACAUUUACCAUCACAUGGUUGAGGUUCAGCUGUCAUGAAGAAGACCCUGAGUUGCUAGACUAACAUUCAGAGCAGGUACUAUAACAGUGCUACAGUACUGUCCGCAGUUAGAGUGGAAAAUAUCAGCCUUUAAGUAAGGCUCAAACCUCAGCUUCACCUUGAUUUAAUGUCAACUCUUCUAAGAAUCUUAUACAUUCACAUGGCUUUAAUCAAUAUUGCAGUUCAGAAAAUAAUCCUUACCUACCUUUAACUCUCCAUGAUGAUGUACUAAUAUAACUCAAUAUAGAGCCUCAGAAUUGUUGAGGAAAGAAAACCUAUCAGCAGUAGCUAGUCAGCACAGCAAAUGUCAAAUAACAGUACUAAUGAUGAUAAUGUAAUAUGAAUCCCUAACCUAAGGCAGUAUAAGAACUCUCCACUAGACCCAAAUAGGUUGAAAGUAAAAGGAUCAAAAGAAAGGUAUACCAAACAGUAAACAAAAGAGAACUGGAGUUGGUGAUGCCUAUAUCAGACAAAAUAGAUUUUUUUUUAAUGUUACCGGAAAUAAAAAGGGACUUUCAUGGUAACACAAAAUUAACCCAUUGGGAAGAUGUAAAACCUAUAACCAUAUAUAUACCUAACAGUAGCACCCCAAACUACAGAAAGCAAAAACUGACAGAAUUGAAGGGAAGAAUAGGAAAUUUUAUUUUAUUUUAUUAUUAUAAUUUCUUUUGAGACAGAAUUUUGCUCUUGUUGCCCAGGCUGGAGUGCAGUGGCACCAUCUCGGCUCACUACAACCUCCGCCUCCUGGGUUCAAGCGAUUCGCCUGCCUCAGCCUCCUGAGUAGCUGGGACUACAGGCACGUGCCACCACGCCCAGCGAAUUUUUGUAUUUUUAGUAGAGACGUGGUUUCACCAUGUUGCCCAGGCUGAACUCCUGACCUCAUUACAGGCAUGAGCCACCGUGCCCAGCAGAAUAGGAAAUUUAACAAUAAAAGUUGACAGCUUUGGUACCACAUUUUCACUAAUUAAUAAAAUUUAGGCAGAAGAUCCACAAGAAAAUAGAAGACUUGAACAACACUAUAAGCCAAAUAGACUUAGCAGGCAUCGAAGGACUACUCUAUCCAACAUCAACAGAAUAGUUGCACAUGGAAUGUUCUCUAGGAUAAAGCAUAUGGUAGGUUAUGGAACAAGUCUCAGUAAAUGUAAACCGACUGAAAUCACAUAAAGUAUACAUUCAAACCACAAUGGAAUUAAAUCAGAAAUCAGUAACAGACAGAAAGGAAACCACAUAUUCCUAAAUAACCAAUGUGUCUGGCCAGGAGUGGUGGCUCAUGCCUGUAAUCCUAGCAUUUUGGGAGGCCGAGGUGGGUGGACUGCCUGAGGUCAGGAGUUCGAGACCAGACUGGCCAACAUAGUGAAACCCUGUCUCUACUAAAAAUACAAAUAUUAGCCGGGUGUGGUAGUCCAUGCCUGUAAUCCCAGCUACUUGGGAGGCUGAGGCAGGAGAAUCGCAUGAGCCCAGGAAGCAGAAGUUACGGCGAGCCGAGAUCACGCUACUGCCCUCUAACCUGGCCAACAGAGACUCCAUCUCAAAGGAAAAAACAACAACAACAACAACAAUGUGUCAAAAGAAAAGUCACUAGAGAAAGUAGAAAACAACUUUGAAAUGUAAAAAAAAGUCCACAACAUAUCAAAACUUAUAGGAUGUAGCAAAAGCAGUCCUCAGAAGGAAACUUAUAGCUGUAAACACUCACAUUAAAAAAAAAAAAAAAGAAACAUCUCAAAACAAUAACCCAAACUUCUACCUUAAGAAACUAGAGAAAAGCAGAGCAAGCUAAACCCAAAGCAUGCAGAAGGAGGGAAAUGAAGAUUAGAGCAGGAAUAAAUAAAACAGAGAAUGCAAAACAAUAGAGGAAAUCAACGAAUGCGAAAGUUAGUUCUUUGAGAAGAUCAACAAAACUAACAAGCCUUGACUAGACCAAACCAAACAAAGGAAAGGGAGGUAAAAAAAAAAAAAAAAAAAAAAAAACUGUAUGCAAAUAAAAUUACUAUGCCGACAGCACAGUAAAAAGAUCAUACACCAUAACCAAGUGGGAUUUAUUCCAGGAAAUGUAAUACAACAAAUCAAUCAAAUAAAAAAUAAAAAUGAUUUGAAAAGCAACUGACAAAAUCCAACACGUUGUCAUGACAAAAACACUCAACUAACUAGGAAUAGUUGAGAACUUUCUCAACCUGAUAAAAGUCAUCUAUGACCACCUCACAGCUGAUACGAAUAGAGAUGAAAGACACAAAUUAUUGACCCUGAUUCAAGAAGAAAAUAGAAAAUUUGGGAUGGGCGUGGUGGCUCAUGCCUGUAAUCCCAGCACUUUGGGAGGCCAAGGCGGAAGGAGCACAAGGUCAGGAGAUCGAGACCAUCCUGGCUAACAUGGUGAAACCCUGUCUCUACUAAAAAUGCAAAAAAUUAGCCUGGUGUGGUAGCGGGCACCUGUGAUCCCAGCUACUAGGGAGGCUGAGGCAGGAGAAUGGCGUGAACCCGGGAGGUAGAGGUUGCAGUGAACCAAGAUCGUGUCAUUGUACUCCAGCCUGGGCGACACAGCAAGACUCCAUCUCAAAAAAAAAAUAGAAAAUUUGAAUAGAGCUAUAACAAGUAAAGAUAUCAAAUUGAUAACCAAAUAUUUUUCACAAAUAAAACCUCAGGACCAGAUUAAUUCACUGGUUAAUUCUACAAAACAUUCAAAUAAGAAUUAAUACCAGUUCUUCACAAACUUUUUCAAAGUAUAGAAGAGAAGGGAACCCUCUUCAACUUCUUCUAUGAGGACAGUAUUAUCCUGACACCAAAAUAAGAUAAACACAUCACAAGAAAAGAAAACAACAGACCAAUGUCCUUUCCGAAUACAAACACAAAAACAAAACAACAUAGUAAAAGGACCAUACACCAUAACAAGUGGGAUUUAUUCCAGGAAAUGUAAUACUACAAAUUAAUUGAAUAAAAAUAAAAACUAUAUGAAAAGUAACUAACAAAAUCCAGCACCUUCUCAUGACAAAACACUCAACAAACUAGGAAUAGCAGAGAACAUCUCAACCUGAUAAAGGUCAUCUAUGACUGCCUCAUAGCUGAUAGCACACUCAAUGUUGAAAGACUUACUGCCUUUUCCCUGAGAUCAAGGACAAGACAAGGAUGUUCAGUCUCACCGCUUCUAUUCAACACAAUUUCUUUUCUUUUCCUCUCUCUCUCUCUCUUUUUUGAGAUGGAGUUUCACUCUUGUUGCCCGGGCUGGAGUGCAAUGGCGCAAUCUCGGCUCACUGCAACCUCUGCCUCCCAGGUUCAGCCAAUUCUCCUGCCUCAGCCUCCCAAGUAGUUGGAACUACAAUCAUGCACCAUCACACCUUGCUAAUUUUGUAUUUUUAGUAGAGACAGGGUGUCGCCAUGUUGGCCAGUCUGGUCUUGAACUCCUGACCUCAGGUGCUCCGCCCACCUCAGACUCCUAAAGUGUUGAGAUUACAGGUGUGAGCCACCAUGCCCGGCCUAUUUAACACAAUUUCUAUUAAAAUCCUGGCUGGCUUCUUUGUAGAAAUGGAAAAGCCAAUACUCAAAUUCAUGUGAAAUUGCAAGGGACCUUGAAUUGAUAAAACAAUCCCAAAAAGGAAGAAUAAAGUUGGAAGACUCACACUUUCUGAUUUCAAAAUUUACUAAAAAAUCACACUAAAUCAAGACAUGUGAAAAUUGCAUGAGUGUUCACAUCAAUGGCAUACAAUUGAGAAAUAAGCCCCCAUGUCUAUGGUCAACUGAUUUUGUGUUAGGGUGGCAAGACCAUUCAAUGGGGGAAGAACAGUCUUUUCAACAAAUAGUGCUGGAACUACUGGAUAUUCACAGCAAAAGAAUAAAGUUAGACCAUUACUUCACACUAUAUAUAAAAAUUAAUUCAAAAUGGAUCAUAGAUCUCAAUGUAAGAGUUAAAAACAUGAAAUUCUUAGAAGAAAACAUAGGAGAAAAUCUUCAUGACCUUGGGUUGGGCAAUGACUUGUUAGAUACAACACCAAAAGCUCAAACAAUAAAAUUAAAAAUUAACGAACUGGACCAAAUCAAAACUAAACAUUUUUAUGCUUCAAAGGACACUAUAAAGAAUGUGAAAAGAAAACGCAUAGAAAGGAAAGGAAAAAUUUGCAAGUCAUAUAUAUGAUAAGGGACAUUUACUUGUAUAGAGAAUAUAUAAAGAACUCUUACAACUCAAUAAGAAGAAGAUGAGUGACCCAAUUAAAAAAUGAGGAAAACAGCUGAAUAGACAUUUCUCCUAAGAAGAUAAAUAAAUGUCCAACAAGCACAUAAAAAGAUGCUCAAAAUUUUUAGUAAGUAGGAAAAUGCAAAUCAAAACCACCAUGACAUACCACUUCACAUCCACUAGGAUAGCUAUAACCAAAAAGACAAAUAAUAAGUGUUGGCAAUGAUGUAGAGAAAUUGGAAUCCUUAUAUGUUGUUGAUGGAAAUAAAAAAAUGGUGCAGUCAUUUUGGAAGACACUUUGACAAUUCCUCAAAUAGUUAAUUAGAGAGUUACCAUGUGACCCAGCAAUUCUACUCCCAGGUUUACACCCAACAGAAAUGAAAAUAUAUGUCCACACAAAAAUGUGUACGUGAAUGUUUGUAGCAGCAUUAUUCAUAAUAGCCAAAAAAGUAGAAGCAGCCCAAAAGUUAUAAACUGAUAUAUAAAUAAAUUAAACCUGGCAAAUCAAUACAACGAAAUAUUAUUCAGCAAUAAGAUACUGAUAGAAACUACAAAAUGAAGCUGGGCAUGGUGGCUCACACCUGUAAUCCCAGCACUUUGGGAGGCCAAGGAAGACGGAUCACUUGAGGUCAGGAGUUUGAGACCAGCCUGGCCAACAUGACAGAACCCCAUCUCUACUAAAAAUACAAAAAUUAGCCAGGAGUGGUGGCUUGCACCUGUAAUCUCAGCUACUUGGGAAGCUGAGGCAGGAGAAUUGCUUGAACCUGGGAGGUGAAGGUUGCAGUGAGCCAAGAUCGUGCCACUGUACUCCAGCCUGGGUGACAGAGUGGGACUCUUUCUCCAAAAGAAAAAAGAAACUACAAAACGGAUGAACCUUGAAAACACUAUGCUAAGUGGAAAAGCCAAGCACAAAAGACCACAUAUUGUCUGAUUCCAUUUACAUAAAAUGUUCAGAAAUGGUGAAUCUAUGGAGAGGAGAAGUAGAAUAGUGACUGCCUAGGGCUGGGUUGUGGUGUCCAGGGAAGGGAAGGGGAUUGGGGAGUGACUGCUAAGGGGUAUGUGGUUUGUUUUUUAUUUUUUAUUUAUAAAUACAUAUGGUUGAUGGUUGCACAACCCUAUAAAUAUACUAAAAACACACUGAAUUGUUUACAUAAAAAGGGUCAUUUUAUGGUAGGUCAAUUAUAUCUCAAUAAAGCUGAUAACAAAACAAAACAAAAAAGGAACUCUCCAUGUACCUACAUCUUAACACGCACCCCAGCCCAUGGAUGCUUUUUCUUUCUUUACGACUACUCUUGGUUCCCUAUAGUCUGUGUUCAUUUCUCCUUCCUCCAUUCCUGUUGUCUCUUCUCCUCCCUCUCUCUCAUGUCUUAAUCACAGAUCUCUUUUCUUCUCCAUUUAAUAGCCAUAAAUAAACUAUUUUUAGUAUCUUUAUAUUGACUAGAAUUGCAUUUCCUUGUGCUUAUUUUGAUCGAUGUACCAUUUCAUAUUUGUCCCUUUAAAACUUUCUAAAAUGUGGGUGGGUGCGGUGGCUCAUGCCUCUAAUCCCAGCACUUUGGCAGGUCGAGGCAGGCGGAUCCCUAGAGCUCAAGAGUUUGAGACCAGCCUGGGCAACAUGGCAAAACCCUUUCUCUACAAAAAUUAGCCAGGCCUGGUGGCACACGCCUUUUGUUUCUGGCUACUUGGGAGGCUGAAGUGGGAGGACUGCUCUAGCUUGGGAGAUAGAGGUUGCAGUGAGCCAUGAUAACACCACUGAACUCUAGUCUGGGUGGCAGAGUGAAACCCCAUCUCAAAAAAUAAUAAUAAUAAUUUU
rnacentral:lncRNA from 1 species